rnacentral:rRNA from 1 species
UACGUAGGGGCCAAGCGUUGUCCGGAUUUAUUGGGCGUAAAGAGCUCGUAGGCGGUUGGGUAAGUCGGGUGUGAAAACUCCAGGCUCAACUUGGAGAGGCCACCCGAUACUGCUCUGACUUGAGUUCGGUAGGGGAGUGGGGAAUUCCUGGUGUAGCGGUGGAAAUGCGCAGAUAUCAGGAGGAACACCGGUGGCGAAGGCGCCACUCUGGGCCGAAACUGACGCUGAGGAGCGAAAGCGUGGGUAGCAAACAGG